GUGGGGAAUAUUGGACAAUGGGCGAAAGCCUGAUCCAGCCAUGCCGCGUGUGUGAAGAAGGUCUUCGGAUUGUAAAGCACUUUAAGUUGGGAGGAAGGGCAGUAAGUUAAUACCUUGCUGUUUUGACGUUACCGACAGAAUAAGCACCGGCUAACUUCGUGCCAGCAGCCGCGGUAAUACGAAGGGUGCAAGCGUUAAUCGGAAUUACUGGGCGUAAAGCGCGCGUAGGUGGUUCGUUAAGUUGGAUGUGAAAGCCCCGGGCUCAACCUGGGAACUGCAUCCAAAACUGGAGAGCUAGAGUACGGUAGAGGGUGGUGGAAUUUCCUGUGUAGCGGUGAAAUGCGUAGAUAUAGGAAGGAACACCAGUGGCGAAGGCGACCACCUGGACUGAUACUGACACUGAGGUGCGAAAGCGUGGGGAGCAAACAGGAUUAGAAACCCCUGUAGUCC
rnacentral:rRNA from 1 species